rnacentral:rRNA from 1 species
UACAGAGGUGGCAAGCGUUGUUCGGAAUUACUGGGCGUAAAGAGCGUGUAGGCGGCCAAGCAGGUCAGCUGUGAAAACUCGAGGCUCAACCUCGAGACGUCGGUUGAAACCGCUUGGCUAGAGUCCGGAAGAGGAGAGUGGAAUUCCCGGUGUAGCGGUGAAAUGCGCAGAUAUCAGGAGGAACACCGGUGGCGAAGGCGGGUCUCUGGGCAACAACUGACGCUGAGGAGCGAAAGCGUGGGGAGCGAACAGG